UAAUGUUGCAUCACUUGAAUCUGUGUAUUU
rnacentral:piRNA from 1 species